AUAGUCAGGGAACCAGACUGCGUGCAACAAUGGCGACUUCGGUAGCUUCAGCGCAUUCGGCAGGAGAGGGCCUAGAUGCCGAAAAAAACAGAUUCCAAGUGGAGCUUGAGUUCGUCCAGUGUCUUGCUAAUCCACAUUAUUUGAAUUAUGUCAUCAAAGAGCAUGUAAACACACUCAGAUUCCACUCAUGCAGGGAUAAGAAACACUUCCCUCUCUGGACUCAACUGACCUAACGGCAGGAUUUCAAAGUAAAAUCAUCGACUACAGUCUGCAGCAACCACUUUAAAUACGGCCAGCCAUAUCCUGAUGAACUUCACCCAUCUUUAUUUUUGAGAGGAUACGACCUUCCUGAGACAC